AUUGAACGCUGGCGGCAUGCUUUACACAUGCAAGUCGAGCGGCAGCGCGGGGCAACCUGGCGGCGAGCGGCGAACGGGUGAGUAAUGCAUCGGAACGUGUCCCGUAGUGGGGGAUAACCCGGCGAAAGCCGGACUAAUACCGCAUAUUCUCUACGGAGGAAAGGGGGGGACCCGCAAGGGCCUCUCGCUAUGGGAGCGGCCGAUGUCCGAUUAGCUUGUUGGUGAGGUAAUGGCUUACCAAGGCGACGAGCGGUAGCUGGUCUGAGAGGAUGAUCAGCCACACAGGGACUGGGACACGGCACAGACUCCUGCGGGAGGCAGCAGGGGGGAAUUGUGGACAAUGGGGGCAACCCUGAUCCAGACAUGCCGAGUGCGGGAAGAAGGCCUUCGGGUUAUAAACCGCUUUUGUCCGGAAAGAAAAGGCGCCUCCUAAUACGGGGCGUUCUUGACGGUACCGGAAGAAUAAGCACCGGCUAACUACGUGCCAGCAGCCGCCGUAAUAC
rnacentral:rRNA from 1 species